UACCUUAAACGACCGAAGGAGCCUGCGGUGAAUGGGACACGAGGUAAACAGAACGAGCGAACGAUCAUGAAUUAUUUUACACACGUCCGUGCGCACAAGCUGGUACUCUAGCGAUCUUUGUGAUCAGUUAUAAAGAUCAUUACUGACUAGAAAGAUGACAACAGACCUUGCUAUACCUGGACAAGUCAACUUGGAUGCUCCACAAUGGGAUCAGUCCACUUUUUGGGGACGUUUUAAACAUUUUUUUGCAAUCACAGACUGGAGGAAAGCUCUUUAUAGCAAUUCACAGCUGGAUGAGGCAAAGGAACUUAUGGAAGAUUACAGACAAGGCAAGACAAACAAAGUGUCUGUUGAAGAUCUCUGGCAUGCAAAACAUCUGGUGGACUCUGCAUUUCAUCCAGACACUGGGGAGCGAAUGAAUUUCAUGGGUCGUAUGUCUUUCCAGGUGCCUGGUGGCAUGGCAAUAACAGGGGCUAUGUUACAGUGGUACAGGACUGUCCCAGCUGUUGUGUUUUGGCAGUGGAUCAACCAGUCAUUCAAUGCCCUAGUAAACUACACAAAUAGGAAUGCUAAAUCAACAGUAACUGGAAAGCAGAUUGGUAUUGCCUAUGUAUCAGCAACAUCAAGUGCUGUGGCUGUAUCUGUAGGACUCAAUUCUCUUGUGAAGUCAGCCCCGCCUCUUCUUGCCCGAUGGGUUCCCUUUAUAGCAGUUGCUGCUGCCAAUUGUGUAAACAUUCCUCUGACAAGGCAAAGAGAAAUUUUAGAUGGUAUUUUAGUAUUUGAUGAAAACAACAACCCAGUAGGAAAGUCGAAGAAGGCUGCUGUGAAAGGAAUAACACAAGUUGUCAUCUCCAGAGUUACAAUGGCUGCACCUGGAAUGAUUAUUAUACCAGUGCUGAUGGAAAAAAUUGAAAAAUACCACUUUAUGCAGCGUAUCAAGCCUAUGCAUGGUCCUAUUCAGAUGUUGCUUUGUGGUGUGAGCUUGUGCUUCAUGGUACCGGCUGCUUGUUCACUAUUCCCACAGAGGUGCUCCAUGCCAGUAGAAAAGCUUGAGGCAGAGUUGCAGGAGGUGAUAAGAAAGCGUGAAGGACCAGCUUUAAAAACAGUUUUCUUCAACAAGGGACUUUAAUGUUUCAAUGUUUUCCUUGAGCUGCUUAAAAUCAGAAAUUUUAUUUACCGGGGAUCAAUGCAGCCAAUCCAAAGUGGGCAAGAUGGGCCCAUCUUGCCUGCUCGGGUAGCCAAUCAGAAUACAGGAUUUUCUUUACCUUGCCCACAGGCACUGUGAGCAAUGUAAUGAUUAAAAUUAUUCAUACCCAUUUCAACCCUUUACACGGUAACUUGAGUAUGCAUAUUCUCCAUGUUCUUCUUACAUUGGCUUCGGUGUAAAAAAGUUAGUCUUCUCUAGUUGGUGAUCAUUUCCUUUUUUUCUUGUUACUGUAAUGUGCCAUUCAAGGGUGACAUUGUAAGGAGAAAUUAGAUGCUAGUCACUCUUAGGGAUCAAAGGGUUUGAUUGUUGGCAGAGACCUAUGAUUUUAACAACUUCAUUUAUGUUUAUCAUUACAGUAUUCACUAAUCUAUGUACCUAGAAUUACAUCGUUUCAUUAUUUCUACUUUCUAUCAAACCAUGCCAUCUUGAAACUUUUUUCUUCAAAUAAUUUGGUAUGCUUCAUGUAUUAUAAUUAUAAUGUUUGACAAACAUAAUGGCUAUAAAGGCCAUUUGAUUGUGUAGGAAAGAAACUGUGAGAAAUGGUUUUGUCACUGUCUUGUA